CACCUCUGGAGAGGUGAGAGCCUUGGGAUGUGUCCCUAUGGAACAGGGACAGGGAUAGGGAGCACCCCUGGGGAGGUGAGAGCCCUGGGAUGUGUUCCUGUGGGACAGGGAACAUCCCUGGGGAAGUGAGAGCUCCCCAUGGAGCAGGGAACAUCCCUGGGGAAGUGAGAGCUCCCUAUGGAGCAGGGACAGGGAUAGGGAGCAGCCCUGGGGAGGUGAGAGCCUUGGGAUGUGUCCCCAUGGAACAGAGAUAGGGAUAGGGAACAGCCCUGGAGAGGUGAGAGAGCCUUGGGAAGUGUUCCUGUGGGACAGGGAACAGCCCUGGAGGGGUGAGAGCCUUGGGAAGUGUUCCUGUGGGACAGGGAACAGCCCUGGGGAGGUGAGAGCCUUGGGAAGUGUUCCUGUGGGACAGGGAACAGCCCUGGGGAAGUGGGAACCUUGGGAUGUGUCCCCAUGGAAUAGGGAUAGGGAACAGCCCUGGGAUGUGUCCCCAUGGAGCAGGGAACACCCCUGGGGAGGUGAGAGCCUUGG